GCGAAGUGGUGCUUGCACCUUUCAAGUGAGUGGCGAACGGGUGAGUAACACGUGGACAACCUGCCUCAAGGCUGGGGAUAACAUUUGGAAACAGAUGCUAAUACCGAAUAAAACUUAGUGUCGCAUGACACAAAGUUAAAAGGCGCUUCGGCGUCACCUAGAGAUGGAUCCGCGGUGCAUUAGUUAGUUGGUGGGGUAAAGGCCUACCAAGACAAUGAUGCAUAGCCGAGUUGAGAGACUGAUCGGCCACAUUGGGACUGAGACACGGCCCAAACUCCUACGGGAGGCUGCAGUAGGGAAUCUUCCACAAUGGGCGAAAGCCUGAUGGAGCAACGCCGCGUGUGUGAUGAAGGCUUUCGGGUCGUAAAGCACUGUUGUAUGGGAAGAACAGCUAGAAUAGGAAAUGAUUUUAGUUUGACGGUACCAUACCAGAAAGGGACGGCUAAAUACGUGCCAGCAGCCGCGGUAAUACGUAUGUCCCGAGCGUUAUCCGGAUUUAUUGGGCGUAAAGCGAGCGCAGACGGUUUAUUAAGUCUGAUGUGAAAGCCCGGAGCUCAACUCCGGAAUGGCAUUGGAAACUGGUUAACUUGAGUGCAGUAGAGGUAAGUGGAACUCCAUGUGUAGCGGUGGAAUGCGUAGAUAUAUGGAAGAACACCAGUGGCGAAGGCGGCUUACUGGACUGCAACUGACGUUGAGGCUCGAAAGUGUGGGUAGCAAACAGGAUUAGAUACCCUGGUAGUCCACACCGUAAACGAUGAACACUAGGUGUUAGGAGGUUUCCGCCUCUUAGUGCCGAAGCUAACGCAUUAAGUGUUCCGCCUGGGGAGUACGACCGCAAGGUUGAAACUCAAAGGAAUUGACGGGGACCCGCACAAGCGGUGGAGCAUGUGGUUUAAUUCGAAGCAACGCGAAGAACCUUACCAGGUCUUGACAUCCUUUGAAGCUUUUAGAGAUAGAAGUGUUCUCUUCGGAGACAAAGUGACAGGUGGUGCAUGGUCGUCGUCAGCUCGUGUCGUGAGAUGUUGGGUUAAGUCCCGCAACGAGCGCAACCCUUAUUGUUAGUUGCCAGCAUUCAGAUGGGCACUCUAGCGAGACUGCCGGUGACAAACCGGAGGAAGGGGGGGGACAAAGUCCAGAUAUCAUGCCCCUUUUAACCGGGGGGACACCCUGGUUACAAGGGGGUAACAACAAGUUGCCACCCGCCGGGGGUGGGCAAUUCCUUAA
rnacentral:rRNA from 1 species